CGGACGGGUGAGUAAUGCCUAGGAAUCUGCCUGGUAGUGGGGGACAACGUUUCGAAAGGAACGCUAAUACCGCAUACGUCCUACGGGAGAAAGCAGGGGACCUUCGGGCCUUGCGCUAUCAGAUGAGCCUAGGUGGAUUAGCUAGUUGGUGAGGUAAUGGCUCACCAAGGCGACGAUCCGUAACUGGUCUGAGAGGAUGAUCAGUCACACUGGAACUGAGACACGGUCCAGACUCCUACGGGAGGCAGCAGCC
rnacentral:rRNA from 1 species